UGUCCCUCCUUGGUGGAGCUUUCCUCUGCAAACCUGGAAUCUUCUGACUGGGCCCCUUUUCUUCAGCCUUGCAGGAUCAAGGAUCUGCAGGAAUGUGCCUUGGAUGGCCGUGCUGUAAUCCAUCGAUAGAACUGUUGCAGCCAGACAUCCCUCUCAGAAAUGCAAUCUAGAGGAGCUCCAUAGUCUACAACAAAACUAUUCCUACCUAUCCUAGCCUCAAAUCUAAUUAAAAGGAGAAGACUAAUGUUGCCUUAAUUACAUUCUGAAGGCUUCCUUCAUUAAGGGGUACCUAGAAGUACAAGCAAUCAAGGUCUCAGAUAAACACACCUGUGCUUUGUGAGAUCCAGGCACAUACCUUUGAAGCUUGAGUGCUUUGUACUGGGAUCUGUACAGAAAACCCAAUAUUGAAAGUUGAGUUUACGAGGCACCAAAUCAUUGCAUGCUAACCAGCAGACAUCAAGAAGAUGAUCUGUUUUUGCUGCUGUGUUAGCAGUGCCCUGUUCCACCAGGCUGCAGGGUGGUGGGGAGUGGAAUGAGCUGGGACAGCCCUGUCCUGCAGGAUGGAGGGGCAGAGGCAGACCUUCACCACCUGCCAGCUUCAGUUUGAACACCAACAACACUGCAGGAUGUGUCCUGUGCUGUUAAACAGCAUUUACGUAUGCAAGUGGCCAGCUAGGUGUAUAAUUGCCCUGUUAUGUUCAUUCUCAGUUGGAUCUCGCAAGCAUUGGGCACAUUCAGAGUCUUGGCACUGCAACAUGCAGAGCAGUGCAUUAAGGCAUCAAAAAGGGUAACUUAAAAGUCAUUGCCAUGGCGACAUGACAACUUAUUUUGCGGUAUAAUAUGUUCUAUGAAAUAUGUAUGAUCUUAUUUUAUAUAUACCAUUUGUUUUUAGCAUUUCAUUUCUGAUAAUAGCCUUUUAAUGAU